rnacentral:rRNA from 1 species
UAAGGAAUAUUCCACAAUGGGGGAAACCCUGAUGGAGCAAUGCCGCGUGCAGGAAGACGCGUUUCGGCGUGUAAACUGCUUUUAAACAGGAUGAUUAUGACAGUACUGUUAGAAUAAGGACCGGCUAAUUACGUGCCAGCAGCCGCGGUAAUACGUAAGGUCCAAGCGUUAUCCGGAUUUACUGGGCGUAAAGCGUCUGUAGGCGGCCAAGCAAGUUGGGUGCGAAAUUUUGUGGCUCAACCAUGAAACUGUAUUCAAAACUGCUAGGCUCGAGGUUGGUAGAGGUACGUGGAACGUGCGGUGUAGGGGUGACAUCCGUAGAUAUCGCACAGAACACCAAUGGCGAAGGCAGCGUACUGGGCCACACCUGACGCUCAGAGACGAAAGCGUGGGGAGCGAACGGA